rnacentral:rRNA from 1 species
GGACGUUUGUAUGCGGUUCUUAUGGUUCUGGCUCUAUAACUGAGGAAAGACUUAGUAACAGAUAAUUAUUGGGAACAGAUUGAUUUGUUCUCAAGUGUGGAGAAGCGUGAAAAGCAGAUGAAGAUGGAUUCAGCGGUGGAUGAGAUACGCAGAAGAUUUGGAUUUUACAGUAUCCAGAGAGGACUUAUGUACCGGGACAGGAUUCUGUCGGCAGUCAAUGCAAAAGAAGAACACACAGUACAUCCACAUGGAUACUUUUCAGGUUAGCAACGAGAAGUGCUAGAUAAUCAAGGCGCAGAUGUGUUGUGCUUGCACAUAAACAUAUGGGACUUGGUUAUCUGAUACGGCGACUGCCGUGAGCGAAAUGAAGCGAAGCGGAAUUGAGCUGCACUACGAGUAGCGAUAGAGUAAAAAAGAGGGAGGCGGAACAUGAGCGAAGCAGCGAGAAUUGAUCUGGUAGACAGAGCACCAUUGACGGAGAAGCAACAGAAUGUGUAUGAAAGCAUUAUGCAAUAUCAGUGUGUGAAUGGUUAUGCUCCUACUAUUAGGGAGAUAUGCAAGAUGGUAGGGGUGGCAUCGACUUCAAGUGUUGAAUUCACACUGGCGAGAAAAGCUGCUAAGGAGCGAGAGUAUGCCCGUACCGCAAACCGACACAGGUAGGCGAGGAGAGAAUCCUAAGACGAGCGGGAGAACCCAUGUUAAGGAACUCGGCAAAAUGACCCUGUAACUUCGGGAUAAAGGGAGCCACGAGAGUGGCCGCAGAGAAUAGGCCCAAGCGACUGUUUACCAAAAACACAGGUCUGUGCGAAGUAGAGAUACGACGUAUACGGGCUGACGCCUGCCCAGUGCCGGAAGGUUAAGGGGAAGUGUUAGGGCAACCGAAGCACGGAACUUAAGCCCCGGUGAACGGCGGCCGUAACUAUAACGGUCCUAAGGUAGCGAAAUUCCUUGUCGGGUAAGUUCCGACCCGCAUGAAAGGCGUAAUGAUUUGGGCACUGUCUCAACGAGGGGCCCGGUGAAAUUGAAAUACCUGUGAAGAUGCAGGUUACCCGCGACUGGACAGAAAGACCCCAUGGAGCUUCACUGCAGCUUGAGAUUGAAUCUCGGUGAUGCAUGCACAGGAUAGGUGGGAGACUUUGAAGUAUGGGCUUUGGCUUAUACCGAGUCGAUGUUGGGAUACCACCCUUGUAUUGCUGAGAUUCUAACACGGAGGCUAACAACCUCGUGGACCAUCUCAGGUAGGCGGUUUGACUGGGGCGGUCGCCUCCGAAAGAGUAACGGAGGCGCCCAAAGGUUCCCUCAGGUCGGACAGAAACCGACCGAAGAGUGCAAAGGCAGAAGGGAGCUUGACUGCGAGACAGACAAGUCGAGCAGAGACGAAAGUCGGGCUUAGUGAUCCGGUGGUACUGAGUGGAAAGGCCAUCGCUCAACGGAUAAAAGCUACCCUGGGGAUAACAGGCUAAUCUCUCCCAAGAGUUCAUAUCGACGGGGAGGUUUGGCACCUCGAUGUCGGCUCAUCACAUCCUGGAGCUGGAGUAGGUUCCAAGGGUUGGGCUGUUCGCCCAUUAAAGUGGUACGCGAGCUGGGUUCAAAACGUCGUGAGACAGUUUGGUUCAUAUCCAUCGCGGGCGCAAGAAGUUUGAGGGAGGCUGCUCCUAGUACGAGAGGACCGGAGUGGACGGAUCAACGGUGUACCAGUUGUCACGCCAGUGGCACGGCUGGAAAGCCGCAUCCGGAAAGGAUAAACGCUGAAAGCAUCUAAGCGUGAAGCCCGUCCCGAGAUGAGACUUCUCAUCAGCAAUGAGUAAGACCCCUUAAAGACGAUGAGGUUGAUAGGCUGUGAGUGGAAGGCCCGUAAGGGUUGGAGCGACGCAGUACUAAUAGGUCGAGGUCUUAACUUG